rnacentral:lncRNA from 1 species
AUGCGGGAGCAAGGUCAUCUUUUUGGCAGGAACCAAUUGGGUGUACUAAAUGGAUACAGCCUGUUUAAAAUGAAUGUGCCAAAUGCCACAAAGCCACCAUCGAAUCAGCAGAUUAGAAAGAUCUUGUCUGAGAAAUACUGGGUUGGAGACCGUGGUGCAACCCUCAUCACUACCCAGCUCGCCCUGUGUUUUAAACAGCCAGAGUAGCCUCUCAGAGGCAGGCGGAUAGUUGAGAAGUCUCCACCUUGCCCUGACGGAGGUUUUCCAAUCUGCUCAGAAGCUGAGGGACAGGAGAAAGCUGUUCUCUCCUGAACAAGGAGGAGGCCCCUCUUGAAACCUACCAGUCACACCUGUAUGGACUUACACCUGUGAAAAUGUACAAGAGACACCCUCUUCCGCCCAUACUUCAUCCUUCUUCUUUAACCCCACUCUUGUUUUCCUUUUUUUUUUUUCCUCACCAACCAAGGAUUUCUAUUAUUUCUUGAAAAAAUUGUCAGGGUCUAUGCUAAAUCUUUAUCUAAAUCAAUUAAGUCAACUGGAUGCCACUGAAAGCAAAAGGCAUGAAGACAGCAUGAGUAGAUUUGAACAUGAACACCUCCCUUCUAGGUUACUGGGUGUGUUUAUUUUUUUUACUAUCACCAGACACUUGAUGAUUGCAUCAUUUUGCACAUGACUCCAUGGGCUGAAGAAAAGGUAUUGAAGAACAUUGAUGAUGUAUUGGAAAUUAAUGAUCAUUCAUAUAAUUAAAAAAAAAAGACAAUCAAGAUGUUGGGAAUGGACUUUGUGGUUAAAGAAACUUUGGGUACUGGAAAUACCACAGAGAUUAAGCCUCUCUUAAUCUUUCAUUUAUAAUUCAGAGAUGACAUCUCCCUUUCUUCUUUGCCUACUUAAGGUGUAUGAGGCAAGGAGGGGAGGUUCUCUUUGAAGACUACAAGUUUAACUUGCUUGUUCAGUCUCUCCUUACCAUCAGCAAGAAAAAAAUUAUAGAUGCAUAUCCAUUACUUACAAAUAAAUUCAAGAAUGUGAUUCUCUUUUCUUCUCCA